CUCUUCUCUUAUCUAUCUAUCUAACCACCCAUCCAUCCAUGUCCAGACAUAAAACAUGAUAAAAAGAAAACUUAGUUCCAUUAUUUGCCAUAUGAGCUGUGACUGAAUGCUAAACAGAUAGAAAAACAAAGAAGAAUAUCGAGCCGAUAUUUAACUGGAGAGAGAUUCUGAUUCCUGAAGAUUCCAGGCCAAUCUGAAGAUUUUGGGAACCCUAACCCUAAACCUCUACACUGCACAAAAGGAUACUAGGUCCAUGCACAUGACCAUCAACAUGAAGGUUCUUCGCAACGGACAUGCUGAAUCCCCUGUGGACACAGGCAGACGUAUCCAUCUUCAGACAGAAAGGGGGAAGCAAAAUUCUCCCUGUCACUUUAGAGGGAGCUGCAUCUACCCUUAGCUUUGACAGCAGAUGUAAUGCAGCAGACUUAUUUUCAUAUCUCAUUCAGAAAGGAGAUGAGAUGUGAAUGAACUUGCUUGACAGUUGAACACCCUAGAGGGAUUUCAGUUUGUCACAGUCAGUACAGUUUCUCUACAAUUACUGCUGAACUACAGGAGAGCAGAAAAGAGAGGGGAGAAAACCAAGUCCAUAAAUCUGAGCCAUUCUGUGUUCUUUAAUUCCCAGCAUAUAAAAUAUGUUAUUUCCUCA